ensembl:ncRNA ZK867.22 ncRNA
UUCUAAAUCCCUUUUUCUGACUGAAAUCGACCACUUCCUAUUUGGUCAAAUUGUAGAUUUGGUGAAUUCAUCAGUGAAGCUGAUAGAUCACAACAUGUUUAUCGUCGGACUUGCCGGACAGCAGAGACUAACAAGCGAGAGAAGC